CGGUUUGGAGCUCCGACCUUGAUUCAGGUGAAGGGGCCAGAAGUCUGACGCCCCCACCCCGACACACACUGCUUCUGCUGAUUCAGCAUGCACAGACUGUCAAGGGAUGCAGCAACUUCAACAAACACAGGACUAUCAAACGCUGAAUCAGAGAAUUGGCAAGAGUUCAGAUGAUGAGGCAAAAGUAUAUAGGGUUCAGAAUGCAGGAUUUGGAUGGCAGACGGGGAAAUAUGAAACAUACGAUGGCCAAGACACGGCAAGAUGUGAGAGAGCACAGUGACGUGGCUCCUUCUUUACCCUAUUUUCCUCAAACACAUCCUUUUGUUAUUUGAUGCCCAAAAAUAUAAUGUGUAUAA